AAAUUAUCAUUCUGUAACUCUAGUGUAUAUGAGUUUGUCUGUUGUAAAUCCUGCCCACUUCUUUGCAUUGUCACACAUGCUUCAGUGCUCUGAGAGUGUUUAUAGUGCUGUGAGUUUAACACUUCAUGACUGACACUGUCUAUCAAUAUAACAGACACAGCUAAAAUGUCAUUCAUCCUCUUCUUCCUGAUCUUAGGAAUGCAUUUUGAAGAUUCUACAGGACAGGUGACUGUAAUUCAGACUCCCACAGAGAAACAUGUUCAGAACGGACACACAGUCACUCUGACCUGUAAGACCAGCAGCUCCAUUGGACGCCCGUCAGACGGUGACUGUAAGUCGUGUGUCUCCUGGUACCUUCAGAAACCUGGAGAAGCACCUAAACUUUUAGUGUACUCCAUCAGGACCCUUGUGGCUGAAACUCCAUCUAGAUUCAGUGGAAAUGGAGCCGAUUAUGGAACUGAUUUCACUCUGACCAUCAGUGGAGUCCAGACUGAAGAUACAGGAGAUUAUUACUGUCUGAGUUACCACUGGAUCAACAGUAAAGCUGUGUUCACACAGUGAUAAAGAGUGGUACAAAAACCUCGGUCAGUCAGACGUCACAGUGAUGCACUGAUACAGCUGAGAGAUACUGCAGCUGCUGAUAGAGGAUCACAAACAACACAAUGGUGUAUCAAACCUUUCAGAGACUUUAUUUAUUUAUUAUGAUUUAUUAAGUAAACAUGUAACAUACAAUCUUAUAUCCCUUAUACUGAACUGGACUAAAAUCUGGAGAAAAUAACAGGCAAAAAGUACUGAGAUGAUCUGCUACUUCCGGUGAGAUUCUGAAGUGUGCAUCUGAUGGACACUUUACUAUCCCAUGAGGCCACGGGAGAGGAUUUGUGAAUGAUACUGAAGCGACGCAACUGACGCUGUGCUCUGAGAGUGUUUAUAGUGCUGUGAGUUUAACACUUCAUGACUGAGAGCAGAACAGAACACAAUCUUCAUCAUCACACAAGACAAAAGAACAACAAUGAACAAAAUCACCUUCUUCAUCUGGACUCUCACACUGAUCGCUCAAGAGUGUAGAGGACAGUACACUGUAACUCAGAGUCCAUCAAUAACAGCUCAACCAGGACAAGAAGUCAGAAUAAACUGUAAAACCAGCAGUGCAGUGUAUAAUGGUAAUUAUUUAGCCUGGUACUUACAGAAACCUGGAGAAGCUCCUAAACUCCUGAUAUAUGCAGCAACAGGCCGUAAUACAGGAACUCCAUCUAGAUUCAGUGGCAGUGGAUCUGGCAGUGAUUUCACUCUGACCAUC